UCUCAAACCCCUGUCUUUAAUGUUAAUCACAAAAAAUCUUAAUUCUUUAGUUUCAAAUUUUAUUUUAUUUGAUUUUAAGGCGGUGAUGAAUUUAUGUAUACCAUCAAACUUUGAAAGCUAAAUUAGCUCGGUGAUGCCAACUAUACAAUCUGAGCCUUGUUUUGCUUAAACUUGUUUUAAUUUUAAUUUGAUUUUAGUGUUUUGGAUUUAUUGAAUGAAAAGGCAACAAUUUAGAGUCUCUGAUUCGCUUAUUUGAUAGUGAUUUCAUUAACUGAGAUUCUGGUAUUAGCCAUCGAUCUUCCUAAAUUUUCAAUUUUUUGUAAAUUCUGUUUUUUUAAAUGUUUUCUAGGUUUAUAUUAUAGUGACAAUUAUUUUGAUUUUAAUUUUUGCUAAAUCAUUUUUUUUUUGGUUGAAAAACCAGUAUUCAUUGUUGUUUAGUUGAAAUUGUUGUGUAUUUGAUUGGUUUAUUUAAGGUUUAUUGAAAUGUUAUAUAUGAAUCUCUUCUCCUCGAUUUUUUGUAAUGUUUCUGUUCUAGUUCAAUGUUUGUUCAUACAUUUAUUACUUUCUAGUAGUAUGGAACUAAAGACGCUCUAGUUUCCACAGGCGAUUAUCCCCAACAGUGGAAACACCUAUUCAGGCUGAUGCAUAGGCACAGAACUUACAUAGAUGGAGUGUGAAUUGGGGUCAGCUGACCCCACUCCUCUUCGAGAAACUACACCAAUUAUGUCACAUUUUGAUAUCUUGGCUCCACUUCAAAUAAUAUAUUGUCCUCACAUAGUUCAAUUAAUUACAUGACAAACAAACUACUUCUAUGAUUUUUAUACACAAAAUGGAACUUUGUAUUUAUCAGAAAUGAGUUCUAUAUUGUAGGCAUUAGACAAGAUUAGGUUCGUAUCCCUCACCGACAAGGAGAUUUUAGGUGAAGGCUACACUGUCAAGCUUGAAAUCCAGGCAUUUGACAAGAUUAGGUUCCUUUCCCUCACCGACAAGGAGAUUUUAGGUGAAGGCUACACUGUCAAGCUUGAAAUCCAGGUUAGCAUUGCUAAAUAUUUAAUUUAAGCAUCUAUUUAUAUCAUUACAUUAGAUUAGUUAAUUAGUUUAUUUUUCCUAUAUUAUUUUUGUUAACUUAUGAUGAAUACCUAAGAAAUUCUUAUAGUUAAUUGCUUUUUUAGUGGUUUAAUUUGUAUAAUUGUGCUGCUGAGGAUCUGUGUUGAAACUUCUCUUCUGGUUUGCCUUUAUGAAUAUAUGAUUGUAUGGUCUUACUUCAUUGAUAUGUAUACCCUUGUUUGUGCCAAUUAUACUAGGUUCUAUACCCUUGUUUGUAGCAGCGAACAAACACAAAGAAAAGGGUAUUUCAUAUUGGGAAGGACAAUUUGUAUGAUCUUACUUCAAUGAUAUGUGUAUCCUUUUUGUGCCAAUUAUACUUGGUUCUAUACCCUUGUUUGUAGCAGCGAACAAACACAAAGAAAAGGGUAAUUUCAUAUUGGGAAGGACAAUGGUUAUUAGCCAUCUGAUGUAGUUGUCUAUUAGAAGUCAUCAAAUUACUUCCAAAUUUGUGGGCUUUCAUUGUAAUUGCUUCGUAUACUUUAAUUAGUUGAGAAAGUUAGGGUAUAUAACUUGUAUAGAUUGUUGAUUUAGCUCAGUUAGUCAUUCUUUAACUUAACUAAAACAAAGAGACAAAUGAGAUCUAAAAGAAUUUGAGGAGAAAAAGAUUGUGAGUUUGUAAUCUUAAAGUGUAACUCUAAGUUUAUAGUGGGAAACUUAAAUACAUUUACUAACUCCUGAGAUAGGUCCUGAAAUCUGUCUUUUCAUCUAUGAUGUUUCAAGGUAUCUGUGCGUUAACUUUUAUCGAUCUGGAAGGCUGAAUCAUAAGCCUAUGGUUCUUUGGUGAUUCCGGUAUUAUGAUUAUUAGAGUAAUUAAUUGUGAUUUGUUGAUUACUCCCUCCGUCCCAAAUCUUUAGUCCUUUUACCUUUUUAGUUUUGUCCCAAAUCUUUUGUCUUUUUAAGAAAGCAAUGCACAAUUAGUGAUACUUUACCAUUUGUACCCUUACAAGUUAAAACACUAAUUAAAUAUGUUUUCUCUUUCUUAAUAAAGUAAGGGUAAAAUUGACUUAAUUUAUCAAUAUUUAUCAUUUCUUAAUCUCUGUGCAAAACUCUAAAAGGACUAAAGUUUUGGGACGGAGGGAGUAAAUAGUUAAAUCAUAUGUUUAGUUCUACCUUUAUAUUUAUCAUUAAAUUUGUUGACAAAGGCAACAAUUUCUGUUUCACCUAUUCCAUGGUGCUUCAGUUAUGAAUGUUGCCAACAAUAAUUUGGGUCUGAAUUAUGGCAUAGGCCCUUGUUUUUUCAACAGGCUUAUGCAUAGGCACAUAUCUUACAUAGAAGGAGUCUGAAUUGGGGUCAGCUGAUCCCACUCCUCUUCGAGAAACUACACCAAUUAUGUCACAUUUUGAUAUCACGACUCCAUUUCAAAUAAUAUACAGUCCCCACACAGUUCAAUUAAUUACAUGACAAACAAACUACUAUAUUUUGAUUUUUAUACACAAAAUGGAACUUUGUAUUUAUCAGAAAUGAGUUCUAUAUUGUAGGCUUUAGACAAGAUUAGGUUCCUUUCCCUCACUGACAAGGAGAUUUUAGGUGAAGGCGACAAUGUCAAGCUUGAAAUCCAGGUUAGAAUUGCUAAAUAUUUAAUUUAAGCAUCUAUUUAUAUCAUUACUUUAGAUUAGUUAAUUAGUUUAUUUUUCCUAUAUUAUUUUUGUUAGCUUAUGAUGAAUACCUAAGAAAUUCUUAUAGUUAAUUGCUUUUUUAGUGGUUUAUUUUGUAUAAUUAUGCUGCUGAGGAUCCGUGUUGAAACUUCUCUUCUGGUUUGCCUUUAUGAAUAUAUUAUUGUAUGGUCUCACUUCUAUGAUAUGUAUACCCUUGUUUGUGCCAAUUAUACUUCUAUACCCUUGUUUGUAGCAUCGAACAAACACAAAGAACCGGGUAAUUUCAUAUUGGGAAGGACAAUGGUUAUUAGCCAUCUGAUGUAGUUAUCUAUUAAAACUCAUCAAAUUACUUCCAAAUUUGAGGAGAAAAAGAUUCUGAGUUUGUAAUCUUAAAGUGUAACUCUAAGUUUUAUAGUGGGAAACAUAAAUACAUUUAUUAACUCCUGGGAUAUGUCCUGAAAUCAGUCUUUUCAUUUCCUUCGAUGAACACGAUCUAUGAUGUUUCAAGGUAUCAGUUCUUUGGUGAUUCCAGUAUUAUGAUUAUUAGAGUAAUUAAUUGUGAUUUGUUGAUUAAAUAGUUAAAUCAUAUGUUUAGUUCUACCUGUAUAUAAUUAAAUUUGUUGAGAAAUGCAACAAUUUCUUUUUCACCUAUUCCAUGGUGCUUCAGUUAUGAACGUUGCCAACAAUAAUUUGGAUCUGAAAUUCUGGCAUUGGCCCUUGUUUUUUCCACAGGCUUAUGCAUAGGCACAUAUCUUACAUACGAGGAGUGUGAAUUGGGGUCAGCGGGUCAGCUGACCCCACCCCUCUUUUAGAAACUACACCAAUUAUGUCACAUUUUGAUAUCUUGAUCCCACAUCAAAUAAUAUACUGUCCCCACAUAGUUCAAUCAAUAAACCUUACCAUAGAAUGCGACCGAUGAGCACUGUAGAAGGCCUCAUAUUCAUCCGUGGCCACCACACGGUUGCCUUUCUCCCGUCUCCUUCCAUUCCCUUUUCUCUUCAAUGUUUGUAAGCUUUUCCCCAUUUGUAAAGGUUUUUGGCUGAAAGGGAUUUGCCAGAAAGGCUUUCCAUUUGUGUCAGAUGCAGAACUAUUUCUCGUGUCCUUUCCUUGCAAGUUUGCUUUUGUGGUUUGUUUGUCUCGUAUCCAAUUCGUUUUGCUUUCUUCUUAAAAGAGACGACGGAGAUUCACUUUUGUUCAGGUUCUGAUUUACCCUUUUUGCCCUUAUCUUUCAUUUGUUUCCCUAGAAAAAGUAAGAACAAUUUUCCGUUUUUUCAAAUCUUUCAUGAUUAGGGUUUUAUUGUAUAUUGAGGUUUUAGUCAUCAAAUUUGUAAUUUUAGAAGUAAUUGGAUAAUAAGUAGUCUCAUAUUGUAGAUUUUUCGCGAAUAGGAGGUUUUGUUAGUGAUUGGACCAAAGCUUUGUUCCUCUGUUUGUGUUCAACACUUUUGUUCUCAAAUCAAGUCAAAUCCCUUUCAUUCAUAAUUUGCAUUCUCUUCCUAUAAAUCAGAAACCAACCUUCACAAACUUCAACUAAUUAAUCUCACUUUUUAGCUUUUCUUGUCUUUCCAACCAAAUACACACAUAAACAUAAACAUGGUUCUAACACAGUCACUUAAGUAUUCUUUUCUGUUAUGUUUCACCUUUGGUUUCAACCUGUUAACCACUUCUGUUUAUGCCCUCAACAUAGGAGCUGAAACCACCGGAAUAGCUGUUUCUGUUGUAUGCAUCUUAAUUAAUGCUUAAACAUAUUAAUUUUGUUUUAACAUGUGUAAGUGUAAUAACUAAUUUUUUAAUUAUUUCUAUUUAUUACUUAAUUUUUCUGUUGAGCAAAGAUUGUAGGAGACAAUGUGAGUCAAGUUUCUGCUCAGUGCCUCCGUUGUUGAUAAUUGAGUAUUGUGGACUUUUGUAUAGCGGAUGCCUUGGUUAAAAACCUUGUGAUGGCCUUGAUGCUUGUUGUAUGAAGCAUGACCAAUGUGUCACAGUAAAAAAUAUGUCUGCGAAUCCUGCUACAUUGAUUGAUGACUUCAGGUUUCUUCUCAUGUGAGCAUGGCAAGUACUCAGUUUACAUCAACAAGGAUGUUGAACAAGUAUGCAUAUGGACUCAAAUUUCAUGUAAGAUUAAUGUGACAUUGCUUUGCUUUUUGUUUAGUUAGAGUACUGUUGCUACUCUUUAUCUUCUUUCUUUUGGCUAUAGAGAAAAGACAAAUGAAUUCAUUGCAACAAAAAUAAUUCAAUUUCAAUGAUUAAUGCUUUGUUUUUUUUGUUUAAUGUGACAUUGAAACAUGAUCUUUUUUAUUUAUUUAUUUAUAUAGUAGGCAUAUAAUAUAAGCAUACCGCUGCCCAUUUGCAAAAGAUUUCAAAUAAGACUUAUGCUGCUAUUCAUUUUUUUCAUCUCUUCCUCUGGGGCCAGAUUAUAUACAAUGCAGAGCUUUAAUAUUUCAAUUGCAGUGAUUAAUUUAGAGAGAAGGAUAAUUUUUUUACUUAAGUCCAACUCUACCAAUGUUCAAUCAUCUUCGAUUGUGUCAUUGUUAAGUCGCUAUAAAUUACAAUAGUUGUGAGUAGCUUAUUCUUGGGGGAUGAGUUCCUAAUUGAAAGGCUAUUAGACUUAUGCAGCUUGCAUAACUAUGCCGGAGAUGCAUUUUAACUAUUGCAUUUAAGCAUAAUAAAAUUAACUAACACUCUUGGGGUUUCAAAUCUUUAAAUCAAUAUAUGAAUGGUAAAUUAACAAUGAAGUGUAAGGUGAUUAUCAAUAUUUGAAAUUAUAGUUGAUGAAGUUCUUGAGAGAUAAUAUUUCAACUUAAUUUUUAAAAUGGUCCGUCUUGAGAAUUUAUUCUUGUUGCUCAACAUUGUGCAGGACAUCAGCUUAUUUUGAUAUCUAUUACUAGGCACCUUUGUAAUCUUAUACUGUUUCCUUUGUCCUUAUCUGCUGAAUUUCAAUUUCACUAUACUAUUAGGUUAAACCACUUAGUUAGGAUUUAGCUGAUUUUUGGGCUUGUCAGUUAGUUAUGAAAUAUGUGGCUUGAAAAUAGAAUAAUUUCGAGUAAUUAUGAGUUAUUUUUUUGGGUUACUGAUAUAUAAGUAAGGCAUUGUGUGGCUUAUGAGGUGAAAAGAGUGUGGUUUUAUGAAAUAUACCAAGUUUUAUAAACAUAUAUUGAUAAUAAGGUUUAUGUGCAAAGUUCUGACACAUACUUAAAAUCAACAUUUCAGUUCAAACUUGGUAUGGAGUUUAGAACAUGAAGACUUCAAUGAAGCCACUCAAUGAACUCUUUGUUUCAAUUGAAGUGCAUGAGCUUGUUUGUUGAGUUUUGCUGCUGUUAUUGAUUUAGUUUGGGCCUAGAUUUUUUCUGUUUUGAUGUUACUGUCAAGUUUAAGGCUUGAGGGAUGAUGUGUUUGUGCAGGAAAUUAGUUUCACUGCUUUUUGUGUUGGAGCUUUGUUGCUUCUUUUAGUGUCAUUGUUUGUAUCAUAGAGGCUAUUGGUUCUGAGAUUGGGUGAAGUUUUGUUCGUAACUUAUGUAUUUUGACUUUUGAGCCAAAGAGCCAAAGAAGGAUGUGCUUGUUCUGCAGAACUUUGAUAUGCAUAACACAAUAAAAUGCACAUAACUUAGAUAGGCAUAAUAGAACAAAGGCAACACAACUGUGAAGAAUUUGACGGUACAAGGGCAAGACACAUCAAGUUUUUCUUUAAGAUUUGAGAAAAAUAGAAAAAUUGUAAAGUGGUAUUUAUUACCAAUGAACUAUUUAUUACUCUCUCUUCUUUUAAUUCUUCAAUUUAUUUUUUCCUACCAUAAAUGAAGGAUAAUUUUGUCCAUACAAUAUUAAUUAUCUUUCUUAAUAUGUGUAAAAAUGUCAAAGCGACAUAUAUUGUGGUACGGAGGGAGUAGUUUCUAGAGCACUGCUGAGGACACACGCACUGUUAAACAAAAUGUGGCUACUAAAAAAGUUGCUUUCAAUGUGCAACAGGUAACAGGUAAAGGAUUUAAAAAAAUUAAAUGAGUUGGCUGAUUAUUAUCGGGGUGUGUUGAAAGAGUGUGUUAGAGGGUGUGACCCUAGCAUUACUCUUAGUUUCUAUUUCAUUAUAAUUUUGUAGG